GGACUAUCAUGUCGGUCGUGCCUCGGUACGUACUGGUAUUGUUGGUUUCUCCCUUCUGACGAACCAUGAUGUCAUUUAUUUGGAGUUGUUGGGGAAUCAGGACUGUUACUUUGAAAAAAUUAGAGUGUUUAAAGCAAGCUAACGCUUGAAUACAUUAGCAUGGAAUAAUGAAAUAGGACUUUGGUUCUAUUUUGUUGGUUUCUAGGACCGACGUA
rnacentral:rRNA from 1 species